AAUACUUGCGAUUUUAUGGCUGAGUGUUAUCUGCUAUCAUAUUUGGCAGAGUUUUAAAAAUAAUAAAAAAAAUGUUGCAAAUGAAAACAGACAGUUUAUUAUAUAUUCCCUCUAUGUUGGUUUAAGUGCUUGCCUGGCUACUGGUUAUAUAGUUUAUAUGAAAUUGCCAUGGAUCUGGGAUAAAAGUAAUAUGUCGAGUGUUGCUGAUAUAAGUUGGUGGACUUCUGAAAAAUGGUCGGCAUUUCAUUUUUACGGAGCAACUGUCUUAAUAUUACUUUUCAAUUGUUAUAAAUUUGUACAUUUGACAAUAACUAUCUAUAAAGAGCGAGCAGAUAUGGACAAAUUGAUUCAGAACAAAGAGUUAUUAAGAAAAAAUGCAUUUAUCGUUUUGCGUUUAUGUCUAAUAACGGAUAUGCAUUGGUUUCUUAAAAUUAUAUCGCACUAUAAUUUCGGAUGGAACUUUCUGUAUUUACUAUUCAAUUUUGCAGACGGUAUUCAAGGUUUUAUGAUAUUUUGCUUGUUUGUUUUGAGACAAAAGACUUGGCGGAUAUU